rnacentral:tRNA from 1 species
GGGGCUGUAGCGCAGUGGUCGGCGCACCAACCAUGCAAGUUGGAGGACGCCGGUUCGAAUCCGGCCAGCUCCA